GACGAACGCUGGCGGCGUGCUUAACACAUGCAAGUCGAACGAUGAAACCUAGCUUGCUAGGUCGAUUAGUGGCGAACGGGUGAGUAACACGUGACUAACCUGCCCCUUUCUCUGGGAUAACGCUCCGAAAGGAGUGCUAAUACCGGAUACUCACAUCGAGGCACAUGCCUUGGUGUGGAAAGUUUGUCGGAAAGGGAUGGAGUCGCGGCCUAUCAGCUUGUUGGUGAGGUAACGGCUCACCAAGGCGACGACGGGUAGCCGGCCUGAGAGGGCGACCGGCCACACUGGGACUGAGACACGGCCCAGACUCCUACGGGAGGCAGCAGUGGGGAAUAUUGCACAAUGGGCGCAAGCCUGAUGCAGCGACGCCGCGUGAGGGAUGAAGGUCUUCGGAUUGUAAACCUCUUUCAGUAGGGACGAAGCGAAAGUGACGGUACCUAACCAGAAAGCCACGGCUAACUACGUGCCAGCCGCCGCAGUAA
rnacentral:rRNA from 1 species